rnacentral:rRNA from 1 species
AUUGAACGCUGGCGGCAGGCUUAACACAUGCAAGUCGAGCGGGGGAAGGUAGCUUGCUACUGGACCUAGCGGCGGACGGGUUAGUAAUGCUUAGGAAUCUGCCUAUUAGUGGGGGACAACAUCUCGAAAGGGAUGCUAAUACCGCAUACGUCCUACGGGAGAAAGCAGGGGAUCUUCGGACCUUGCGCUAAUAGAUGAGCCUAAGUCGGAUUAGCUAGUUGGUGGGGUAAAGGCCUACCAAGGCGACGAUCUGUAGCGGGUCUGAGAGGAUGAUCCGCCACACUGGGACUGGGACACGGCCCAGACUCCUACGGGAGGCAGCAGUGGGGAAUAUUGGACAAUGGGGGGAACCCUGAUCCAGCCAUGCCGCGUGUGUGAAGAAGGCCUUAUGGUUGUAAAGCACUUUAAGCGAGGAGGAGGCUACUUUAGUUAAUACCUAGAGAUAGUGGACGUUACUCGCAGAAUAAGCACCGGCUAACUCUGUGCCAGCCGCCGCCGUAA